rnacentral:rRNA from 1 species
CGCCUGCCCUGUGACAAAAAGUUCAACGGCCGCGGUAUUUUGACCGUGCAAAGGUAGCGCAAUCACUUGUCUUUUAAAUGAAGACCUGUAUGAAUGGCAUGACGAGGGCUUAACUGUCUCCUUUUUCCAGUCAAUGAAAUUGAUCUUCCCGUGCAGAAGCGGGAAUAUAACCAUAAGACGAGAAGACCCUAUGGAGCUUUAGACACAAAACAGAUCUUGUUAAACACUUCAAAAUAAAGAAACAAACUAAAAGAACCCUGCCCUACUGUCUUUGGUUGGGGCGACCACGGGGAGAUAAAUAACCCCCACGCGGACUGGGAAAACAGUUCUCACAACCAAGAGCUACAGCUCUAAUCAACAGAAAUUCUGACCUCAAGAUCCGGCAACGCCGAUCAACGGACCGAGUUACCCUAGGGAUAACAGCGCAAUCCCCUUUUAGAGUCCAUAUCGACAAGGGGGUUUACGACCUCGAUGUUGGAUCAGGACAUCCUAAUGGUGCAGCAGCUAUUAAGGGUUCGUUUGUUCAACGAUUAAAGUCCU